CGAACGGUUCGCCGGCGAACGGUUCCUGACGAACAUAGCAUGUUCGCGUUCGCCACGGCGGGCGAACAUAUGCGCGGUUCGACCCGCCCCCUAUUCGUCAUCAUUGAGUAAACUUUGACCCUGUACCUCACAGUCAGCAGACACAUUCCAGCCAAUUAGCAGCACAGCCUCCCUAGCAGACCCUCCCACCUACUGGACAGCAUCCAUUUUAG